AAGUCGUAACAAGGUAGCCGUAUCGGAAGUUGCGGGCUGGAUCACCUCCUUUC
rnacentral:rRNA from 1 species